UACGUAGGGGGCGAGCGUUGUCCGGAGUUACUGGGCGUAAAGCGCAUGCAGGCGGUCUGUUAAGUUUGGAGUGACAGUUGGUGGCUCAACCACCAAAGUGCUUUGAAAACUGAUAGACUUGAGGGCUUCAGAGGGACACGGAAUUCCGGGUGGAGUGGUGAAAUGCGUAGAGAUCCGGAGGAACACCAAAGGCGAAGGCAGUGUCCUGGGGAGUACCUGA
rnacentral:rRNA from 1 species